UUAGAGAGUUUGAUCCUGGCUCAGGGUGAACGCUGGCGGCGCGCUUAAUGCAUGCAAGUCGAACGUGCCUUCGGGCAAGUGGCAGACGGCUGAGUAACGCGUGAGUAACACACCCUUCGGUGGGGUAUAGCUUCGGGAAACUGAGGGUAAUCCCGCAUACGAUCCUUUUCCCUUGGGGGAAGGAUGAAAGCCUUCGGGCGCCGGAGGAGUGGCUCGCGUCCUAUCAGGUAGUUGGUGGGGUAACGGCCCACCAAGCCG
rnacentral:rRNA from 1 species